rnacentral:rRNA from 1 species
GAUGAACGCUGGCGGCGUGCCUAAUACAUGCAAGUCGAGCGAAUGGAUUAAGAGCUUGCUCUUAUGAAGUUAGCGGCGGACGGGUGAGUAACACGUGGGUAACCUGCCCAUAAGACUGGGAUAACUCCGGGAAACCGGGGCUAAUACCGGAUAACAUUUUGAACCGCAUGGUUCGAAGUUGAAAGGCGGCUUCGGCUGUCACUUAUGGAUGGACCCGCGUCGCAUUAGCUAGGUGGUGAGGUAACGGCUCACCAAGGCAACGAUGCGUAGCCGACCUGAGAGUGUGAUCGGCCACACUGGGACUGAGACCCGGCCCAGACUCCUACGGGAGGCAGCAGUAGGGAAUCUUCCGCAAUGGACGAAAGUCUGACGGAGCAACGCCGCGUGAGUGAUGAAGGCUUUCGGGUCGUAAAACUCUGUCGUUAGGGAAGAACAAGUGCUAGUUGAAUAGGCUGGCACCUUGACGGUACCUAACCAGAAAGCCACGGCUAACUACGUGCCAGCAGCCGCCGUAA